GAUGAACGCUGGCGGCGUGCUUAACACAUGCAAGUCGAACGGAAAGGCCCUGCGUUUGUGCGGUGCUCGAUUGGCGAACGGGUGAGUAACACGUGAGUAACCUGCCCUUGUCUUUCGGAUAACUUCAGGAAACUGGGGCUAAUAUCGGAUAGGAUCUCCUGCUGCAUGGUGGGGGUUGGAAAGUUUCGGCGGUUGGGGCUGGACUGGCGGCUUAUGAGCUUGUUGGUGGGGUAGUGGCUUACCAAGCGUUUGACGGAUAGGCGGCAUGAGAGGGUGACCGGCGACAAUGGGACUGAGGGACGGCGCAGACGGCAACGGGAGGCAGUAGUGGGGAAUAUUGCACAAUGGGCCGGAGCCUGAGACAGCAACGCCGGGUGCGUAAUGACGGGUUUCGGGGUAUAAACCGCUUUCGCCUGUGACGAAGCGGUAGUGACGGUAAUGGGUAAAGAAGCACCGGCUAACUACGUG
rnacentral:rRNA from 1 species